AGUGAACGCUGGCGGUAGGCCUAACACAUGCAAGUCGAACGGCAGCACAGUAAGAGCUUGCUCUUACGGGUGGCGAGUGGCGGACGGGUGAGGAAUACAUCGGAAUCUACUUUUUCGUAGGGGCUAACGGAGGGAAACUGACGCUAAUACCGCAUACGACCUACGGGUGAAAUCAGGGGAUCUUCGGAACUUUCGCGGUUUAAUUAUCCGAUGUCGGAUUAGCUAGUUGGCGGGGUAAAGGCCCACCAAGGCGACGAUCCGUAGCUGGUCUGAGAGGAUGAUCAGCCACACUGGAACUGAGACACGGUCCAGACUCCUACGGGAGGCAGCAGUGGGGAAUAUUGGACAAUGGGCGCAAGCCUGAUCCAGCCAUACCGCGUGGGUGAAGAAGGCCUUCGGGUUGUAAAGCCCUUUUGUUGGGAAAGAAAAGCAGCAGGUUAAUACCCCGCUGUUCUGACGGUACCCAAAGAAUAAGCACCGGCUAACUUCGUG
rnacentral:rRNA from 1 species